rnacentral:rRNA from 1 species
CAGCAGCCGCGGUAAUACGAAGGGGGCUAGCGUUGUUCGGAAUUACUGGGCGUAAAGGGCGCGUAGGCGGCCAUUCAAGUUAGAUGUGAAAGCCCUGGGCUCAACCUAGGAAUUGCAUUUGAUACUGUUUGGCUUGAGUUCGGGAGAGGUGAGUGGAAUUCCCAGUGUAGAGGUGAAAUUCGUAGAUAUUGGGAAGAACACCAGUGGCGAAGGCGGCUCACUGGACCGACACUGACGCUGAGGCGCGAAAGCGUGGGGAGCAAACAGGAUUAGAUACCCCUGUAGUCCCUGUCUCUUAUAA